rnacentral:rRNA from 1 species
GAUGAACGCUGGCGGCGUGCUUGAUACAUGCAAGUCGAACGGAGAGUGUAGCAAUAUACUUUUAGUGGCGAACGGGUGAGUAACGCGUUGGUGACCUGCCCCGAAGCGAGGGAUAACAGUUCGAAAGAACUGCUAAUACCUCAUGUGAUCACCGGUUUUAGAAUCUGGUGAUUAAAGGUGAAAAUCACUUCGGGAGGGGCCUGCGUCCCAUCAGCUAGUUGGUAAGGUAAUGGCUUACCAAGGCGAUGACGGGUAGGGGACCUGAGAGGGUGGCCCCCCACAAUGGAACUGAAACAACGGUCCAUACACCUACGGGUGGCAGCAGUGGGGAAUUUUGGACAAUGGGCGCAAGCCUGAUCCAGCCAUGCCGCGUGCAGGAUGAAGGGCCUUCGGGUUGUAAACUAGCUUUUGUUACGGAACGAAAAGAACUCUUUCUUAAUAAAGAAGGGUCCGAUGACGGUACCGUAAGAAUAAAGCACCGGCUAACUACGUGCCAGCAGCCGCGGUAAAACGUACUACUG